rnacentral:rRNA from 1 species
AUUGAACGCUGGCGGCAGGCCUAAAACAUGCAAGUCGAACGAGUGGCGGACGGGUGCGUAAUGUCUGGGAAACUGCCUGAUGGAGGGGGAUAACUACUGGAAACGGUAGCUAAUACCGCAUACCAUCAGUGGUGCCCAGAUGGGAUUAGCUUGUUGGUGGGGUAACGGCUCACCAAGGCGACGAUACAUAGCGGGUCUGAGAGGAUGCCCAGCCACACUGGGACUGAGACACGGUCCAGACGCCUACGUGAGGAAGCAGUAGGGAAUAUUGCACAAUGGGCGCAAGCCUGAUGCAGCCAUGCCGCGUGUAUGAAGAAGGCCUUCGGGUUGUAAAGUACUUUCAGCGGGGAGGCGUUACCCACAGAAGAAGCACCGGCUAACUCCGUGCCAGCAGCCGCGGUAAUUC